AGUAACGCGUGAGCAAUCUGCCUUUGGAUGGGGGAUAACAGCCGGAAACGGCUGCUAAUACCGCAUAAUGCAACGGGACCGCAUGGUUCUGCUGCCAAAGAUUUAUUGUCCAAAGAUGAGCUCACGUCUGAUUAGCCAGUUGGCGGGGUAACGGCCCACCAAAGCGACGAUCAGUAGCCGGACUGAGAGGUUGAACGGCCACAUUGGGACUGAGACACGGCCCAGACUCCUACGGGAGGCAGCAG
rnacentral:rRNA from 1 species